rnacentral:rRNA from 1 species
AGCGAACGCUGGCGGCAGGCCUAACACAUGCAAGUCGAACGGCAGCACGGGAGCAAUCCUGGUGGCGAGUGGCGAACGGGUGAGUAAUACAUCGGAACGUGCCCAAUCGUGGGGGAUAACGCAGCGAAAGCUGUGCUAAUACCGCAUAAGAUCUACGGAUGAAAGCAGGGGAUCGCAAGACCUUGCGCGAAUGGAGCGGC